GGCAGAGUGCUGAUGUGAAAAAUACCACGACAAAACCACCCUAAUGGAGUUUCACUCUGUCGCCCAGGCUGGAGUGCAGUGGCACGAUCUCGGCUCACUGCAAGCUCCGCCUCCCGGGUUCACACCAUUCUUCUGCCUCAGCCUCCCGAGUAGCUGGGACUACAGGUGCCCACCACCACGCCUGGCUAAUUUUUUUGUAUUUUUAAUAGAGACGGGGUUUCAUCAUGUUAGCAGGAUGGUCUCGAUCUCCUGACCUGGUGAUCCACCCACCUCGGCCUCCCAAAGUGCUGGGAUUACAGGCAUGAGCCACUGCGCCUGGCCUAGUUAUGCUAUCUUUCAAAGAAAGACCAAUUUCAACUAUUUCAUGACCAUGCACUUACACAAUCUGUGGAAUUAUCUUUGGUGAUAAAAAGUUGUGUAAUUUGUAUUCUCUUCAGAUAGGCAAAGAGUGACUGGAUAACCGAUUUGCGACAUGCCACUCAUGAUAUUUCCAAAGCCUAUGGACAUUUGACUUUGGAAACAGGGUCAGCUUAGUCUUCAGACACCGUAUUUGCUUAGGAUAAUUUUGUUUGUUUGUUUUUUCAGACAGAGUCCCACUCUGUCACCCAAGCUGGAGUGCAGUGGCACAAUCUUGGCUCACUGCAACCUCUGCCUCCCAGGUUCAAGCGAUUCUCUUGCCUCAGCCUCCUGAGUAGCUGGGACUACAGGCGUGCACCACCACACCCAGCUAAUUUUUGUGUUUUUAGUAGAGAUGGGUUUUCACCAUGUUGGCCAGGCUGGUCUCGAACUCCUGACCUCAGGUGAUCCACCCACCUUGGCUUCCCAAAGUGCUGGGAUUAUAGGCAUGAGCCACUGUGCCUGGCUAGCUUAGGGUA
rnacentral:lncRNA from 10 species